UACGUAGGGGGCAAGCGUUGUUCGGAAUUACUGGGCGUAAAGGGCGCGUAGGCGGCACGGCAAGUCAGGAGUGAAAGCCCUGGGCUCAACCCGGGAACUGCUUUUGAAACUGCCGAGCUAGAGUGCGGAAGGGGCAACUGGAAUUCCCAGUGUAGCGGUGAAAUGCGUAGAUAUUGGGAAGAACACCUGAGGCGAAGGCGGGAUCCUGGGCCAGUACUGACGCUGAGGAGCGAAAGCGUGGGGAGCAAACAGG
rnacentral:rRNA from 1 species